AUGCCGACGGCGACAUCGGAGGAUAACAGCACGGCCAGGUCGACCAUCAUCUCGGUGGUGGUGUGCAUCAUGUUCCUGCUGCUCUUCUUCGGCGGGUACAUGAACAGGCACUGCCGCCACGACCACGGCGGCGCAGCGACCGGCCGACCAGCCCCGGAGGGAGGCAGGGCGUCCUCAGGGAGGGGCAAGCGCGGGUUGGACCAAUCGGUGCUGGCGACGUUCCCAAUCAUGCCGUGGAGGGACCUCCACAGGAAGAAGAGGGCGAUGGUGGAGGCGGGGGACGAGCGCUGCCCUGUGUGCCUGACCGCGUUCGUGGAAGGCGACAGUCUCCGGCUGCUGCCGCACUGCUCGCACGUGUUCCACCCGGUGUGCAUCGAUCCCUGGCUCCAUCAGCGGGCAACCUGCCCGCUGUGCCGGGCCAACCUCGAGAGGCCGCUGCCGGCUGACGCCGUGGCAAUCGCGAUAUCAGCAGAGGGAAGCGACGACGACAUGCACGAUGGGAAGGAGGAGGAGGCCAUGGAGCUUGAGAUGCUGCGCGCUGAGCGACGGGCGGCAAGGCUACUAGCGGCGGGAACCUGA
rnacentral:rRNA from 1 species